rnacentral:rRNA from 1 species
UACGUAGGGCGCAAGCGUUGUCCGGAUUUAUUGGGCGUAAAGAGCUCGUAGGCGGUCCGUCACGUCGGCUGUGAAAACCCGAGGCUCAACCUCGGGCCUGCAGUCGAUACGGGCAGACUAGAGUGCGGUAGGGGAGACUGGAAUUCCUGGUGUAGCGGUGAAAUGCGCAGAUAUCAGGAGGAACACCCGUGGCGAAGGCGGCCACCUGGGCCGACCCUGACGCUGAGGCGCGAAGGCGUGGGGAGCGAACGGG